rnacentral:rRNA from 1 species
CCUACGGGAGGCAGCAGUAGGGAAUCUUCCACAAUGGGCGAAAGCCUGAUGGAGCAACGCCGCGUGGGUGAAGAAGGUCUUCGGAUCGUAAAACCCUGUUGUUAGAGAAGAAAGUGCGUGAGAGUAACUGUUCACGUUUCGACGGUAUCUAACCAGAAAGACACGGCUAACUACGUGCCAGCAGCCGCGGUAAUACGUAGGUGGCAAGCGUUAUCCGGAUUUAUUGGGCGUAAAGGGAACGCAGGCGGUCUUUUAAGUCUGAUGUGAAAGCCUUCGGCUUAACCGGAGUAGUGCAUUGGAAACUGGCAGACUUGAGUACAGAAGAGGAAAGUGGAACUCCAUGUGUAGCGGUGAAAUGCGUAGAUAUAUGGAAGAACACCAGUGGCGAAAGCGGCUCUCUAGUCUGUAACUGACGCUGAGGUUCGAAAGCGUGGGUAGCAAACAGGAUUAGAUACCCCGGUAGUC